rnacentral:rRNA from 1 species
AGUGAACGCUGGCGGCAGGCCUAACACAUGCAAGUCGAACGCGAAAGGUCUUCGGACUGAGUAGAGUGGCGCACGGGUGAGUAACACGUAGGUAAUCUACCCUUUGGCGGGGGAUAACGUUCCGAAAGGAGCGCUAAUACCGCAUAAGACCACGGAGUCUCCGGACGCUGUGGGAAAAGGUGGCCUCUUCUUGAAAGCUACCACCGAAGGAUGAGCCUGCGUCCCAUCAGCUAGUUGGUAAGGUAAUGGCUUACCAAGGCGAAGACGGGUAGCUGGUUUGAGAGAAUGAUCAGCCACACUGGCACUGGAACACGGGCCAGACUCCUACGGGAGGCAGCAGUGAGGAAUAUUGGGCAAUGGGCGAAAGCCUGACCCAGCCACGCCGCGUGAGUGAUGAAGGCCCUCGGGUCGUAAAGCUCUGUGGAGAGGGACGAAAACCCUGGUUUCAAAUAGGCUCCAGGCUUGACGGUACCUCUUUAGCAAGCACCGGCUAACUCUGUGCCAG